GUCUCAGUGUGUGAAUCUGAAUCAUGAGAUCAUCUGUGAUGCUUCAGGAUUCAGACUGAAGACCGUGUUCAGAGUGAGGAAUGAGACAGACCCCAUCAGCGGAUCGACACAAACCCCAA